rnacentral:rRNA from 1 species
GAGAGCAGCUAAGAAUAUUCCACAAUGGACGGAAGUCUGAUGGAGCGACGCCGCGUGCGCGAUGAAGGCCGUGAGGUUGUAAAGCGCUUUUCUUGAGGGGGAACAACACAUCCAGGGAAUGGGAUGUGGAUGACGUGAAUCGAGGAAUAAGCCCCGGCUAACUACGUGCCAGCAGCCGCGGUAACACGUAGGGGGCGAGCGUUGUUCGGAAUCAUUGGGCGUAAAGGGUGCGCAGGCGGCCCGGUAAGUCUGGUGUAAAAUGGUCGUGCUCAACACGAUCAUGCGCUGGAAACUGUCGGGCUAGAGUCAACGAGGGGAUGCCGGAAUUCCAGGUGUAGGGGUGAAAUCUGUAGAUAUCUGGAAGAACACCGAUGGCGAAGGCAGGCAUCUGGCGACUGACUGACGCUGAGGCGCGAAGGUGCGGGGAGCAAACAGGUUUAGAUACCCUGGUAGUCCGCACAGUAAACGAUGUGCACCAGGUGGCGGGCAGCAGUGCUCGGUACCGAAGCAAACGCAUUAAGUGCACCGCCUGGGGAGUAUGCCCGCAAGGGUGAAACUCAAAGGAAUUGACGG